UACGUAGGGCGCGAGCGUUGUCCGGAAUUAUUGGGCGUAAAGAGCUCGUAGGCGGCCUGUCGCGUCAAUUGUGAAAGCCCGGGGCUUAACCCCGGGUCUGCAGUCGAUACGGGCAGGCUAGAGUGUGGUAGGGGAGAUCGGAAUUCCUGGUGUAGCGGUGAAAUGCGCAGAUAUCAGGAGGAACACCGAUGGCGAAGGCAGGUCUCUGGGCAUUAACUGACGCUGAGGAGCGAAAGCAUGGGGAGCGAACAGG
rnacentral:rRNA from 1 species